AUACGUAGGGUGCAAGCGUUAAUCGGAAUUACUGGGCGUAAAGCGUGCGCAGGCGGUUUUGUAAGACAGAGGUGAAAUCCCCGGGCUCAACCUGGGAACUGCCUUUGUGACUGCAAGGCUGGAGUGCGGCAGAGGGGGAUGGAAUUCCGCGUGUAGCAGUGAAAUGCGUAGAUAUGCGGAGGAACACCGAUGGCGAAGGCAAUCCCCUGGGCCUGCACUGACGCUCAUGCACGAAAGCGUGGGGAGCAAACAGGAUUAGAUACCCUGGUAGUCCACGCCCUAAACGAUGUCAACUGGUUGUUGGGUCUUCACUGACUCAGUAACGAAGCUAACGCGUGAAGUUGACCGCCUGGGGAGUACGGCCGCAAGGUUGAA
rnacentral:rRNA from 1 species